GUAAUUCGGGUUAAGUGAUUUGCCCAGGGUCACACAGCUAGAAGGACCCCUGCUCUUCUGCAGCUGCAAGUACUAGUGCUCCUCUUGGCUCUGGAUCUGUGACAAGGGCCCCUGCUCCCUCCACCCUGGAAACCUAGAAGUGUGUAUUCAUUACCAAGGAUUAUGCCGUUCUACCUGCCUAGAAUGUUCUCCCCAUCUCAAACCUCUCUUCUGUCUCAAUUCAACCCAUCAUUCAGGGCCCAGCUUGGCUCCCCUCCAUGAAAACUUUUUUGUUAUGGAAAGAAAGACACUGAAGAUGUAAAAAUAGGAGAAGUUGUCUUCCUCAACUUUCCAAUUGGAAUAGUGCCAGCACCACUUAGAAAAUUCUUCUGGAGAUGGUGAUUCAUUCAUGGCCUUUGUUUAAAGGCCUCUGCCCUGGGUGGAGUCUUUGGAGAAUCCUGCCCUCCCCACCCCUUUCCUGGGGAAGGAUAGGUGAGUCAGAAAUCAACCUCGAAGAUAGAUUGAGAUUACCCAAAUCUAAAGACCUUCUAGUAUCUCUUCCCACACUUAUCGGUGCCCCACUUGACAUCUGAUGCUAUCAAAGUGGCUAAGUUGUGAAACUCAUUUAUUUGUUCCAUUAACAUCUUUCCUUUCUUGCUACCUAAUUUCUUUUGGAUUGUACCAGUUUCUUUCAGGCCUGGGCUAAUUGGCCACUGCAAGGACCAAGAAAACUCCAUGAGUCGGCAGAGCCUAAAUGGAUUCAUGAUAGAUGAUAAGGGAUAGUUAUUUUUCAUAUCCGAAUUUAUUUACAUGCAAUACUCCGUGAAAAACACACACAGAGUUUAAGUGAUUUGCUCAGCAUCACACAGCUUUUCAAGGCACAGCUGGGUUCUAACCCUAGUCUUCUUGGCUUCUCUAGUUAAUUCUCCACCUCUUCCCUUUACCACAUGGCAUUUGCACAAACACAGUUCCCAUUUACCUAUCCACUGUGUAGGCUGCUUUCCCUAAAGGCCCUUCACAAUCUCCCUCCAACCCACUUGUCCCGUCUUGGAGCUCUACAUAUAUUCCACUUUUUUAGCCAAGCUGGACUGUGCCUGGCCAAUCCUCCCAUUUCCAUGCCUUUGCUCAAACUCACUCCCUUUGCCUGAAAUGUAUACGCCCUUCUUUUAUCUCCAUCUGUGAAAAUCACUCCCUUUCUUCAAAACCCAAUUCACUGCUUCAUUCUCCUUGAAAGCCUUCCUCGAAUGCCCAGGUAAAAGUGAUCACUCUCUUUUAAAAUUUCUCAUAUUUUUUUCCGUGUACCUUCAUUUAAUUAUUUCACUUUUCCUGUAUCAUAGUUAUUUGUUUACUUGUCUCUAUGUUCUCACUCACACCUCUAAGCCCCAGAGAAUUUUAGGACUGGAAGGCUCCUUAAUUUAAUCCAACCUUUUCAUUUACAGAUGGGGAAACUGAGACUCACAGAGGAUAAAUGAUUUACCCAUAGUCAUAUAAGUAGUAAGUAGAGGAACCAGGAUUUCAAGCCAGGUCCUUUUAUUCCCAUUCUAAGUAUUAGAUUUUACACUUACCUCCAUGGAGGUAUGGAAUAGGUGUGGCUUA